CCAGCUUCUCCCCGGGGCUCUGUCCCCGCAGUGCUGGGCCGCGCCCCAUGGCCAGUGCCCCGUGGAGGGGCACCCCCAGGGCGGCGGUUACUGAACGCGAGGCAGCUGCCAGGAGGACGAGCACUGUCCUUGGGCACGGGACUAUUAGCGUGUCCCAGCGUGACCCCAGCAGCACGCGGCCAGGCCUCCCUCCUCCCCGCUCUGCACGGCCUGGGCUUGCACGGCGACACGCUGCCCUGGCGGGACGGAGCCGCACGCUUUCUAGGCACCGAGAUGGAGGGAGAAAAGCCCAAUUGUCAUUUGGAAAGGCUUGUGGCUUUAUAUGGGAACAAUGAGGGAGCACAGAACCCUACAAAUGUACAGGUGCAGCAGAAGCAAACUGAGGAAGCCCUGCGGUUUGUGCCUAGAGCCCAGCGGAGCACGCCAAGAGGUUAUGCUACUGACUGUCCACUGAUCCUCUGGAAACUCACUUAGCUGCGAGAGUCACACCAGGUCACCACGAUGCAGGGCUUCAAGCAGUGCUCCCUGCAGAUUGGGCCCACCCCCCAGGAUACACACGGAUCCGAGUCAAAAGUUCACACAGCGUUUUACUGCUGUGAGCCCUGCAUCGCUCAGAGAUUCUGUCCCUCCUUGCUGGUCACUGAGCUCCAGGAAAUGGCACCUGUAAACCCACCGAGGGCCCCAGGUGCGAGAGGGAGGCAGGGCUUGGACUACAGAUGCUUUACUCAUCGGGACAGCGCACACGGUGGAAAGAGUCCGGACCGAGUUUGCAAAAUUUGCCCUGGUGAACUGAGCACAUUUGCUUUAGAAAUCAUUAGCACCCAACCAUGGAAGCCCGCUCCCGUCCUCCCUCCAGCCGAGACAGGCUUUGCAGAGCAGGACCAUGCUGUGAGGAGAGCCCUGCGGAGUCUGAGCUGCCAUGGCUGAGCCACUGCUGUAGAACAGAGUCUGUGAGUGGCAGACGUCACUGCGGGUCUGCGCGGGGCAAAUAUCCUGCGCAUUGAGAGCGCUACGCGGAUGUGGGCGUUUUCUUUAGGAAAAACUGGAAAUUCCAGAUUAGAGCAACACCUAACCCCUCCCCUGGCCCCCCCAAAACCCACCACACCCACUUUUCAAAGCACAGAAAUGCCAAGGCAGGGUGCCUUGGGUGACCCCCUAACUUCCUGGCAUGAGCCAGCAACUCACAACCAGCCUCAUUCCCCAAACACAAGCCAGCUGCGGAUUCCCACUGCCGCAGCAUGACUCUGGCCCAUGAGGCCCUAGAGACCCAGGCCUUUGCAAGCUCCAGAACCACCUCUCCUCAAAGAAAUAACGCGCGCCAACUGGCACCCAGCUAGCGGGUCUCUGGGCAAGGCGGGGGUCCCGUGAUCGUGACUGGUCACAGACAGACAUCUCUAAAUGCUCCCACGUGCGAGACUCCACCCAAACAGCACAGGAACACGGGCUUCUCCACAUUGCAGGGCACCCUGAGGCCAGGUCAGCAGCAGAGAUCAGGCAUUUGAGUCCAGCCAGCCAAGGGGCAAAACCGCAGUUUUAGGAAACUCCUUAAUUGGAAAAGUCAGAACCCCACUUUUCUAGAGCCCAGCUAGCUCAGCUGCACUGGGCUGCUUUUCCUUCCCACCCUAGCCAGCCCCGGUGGGCCAGUCACAUCCUAGCUGAAUUAGGGGCACGCCCCAUAUUGGCUUUUUAACAACAGGUGAUUCCGCCUUAAUCACAGCGCCGCUCCCACAGCUGCCAAGCGCUGCCCAGAGCAGCCCACCAGCGCCAUGCACCUGCAGGAAGAGCCCUCACCCUGCCUGACCAUCAUUGCUGCAUUCCUGCACCAGGGGUCAUUCGAUUCCCCUAAACUCUCUUCCAUUUCAAACAAAACUCCUUCGCCCCCAUUGCAUUAGCUGGCUCUGGGCUUCCAGCCCAAUCAGUUCCCCAGCACAGAGCCCAUGGCCCACCCGGGCAAAGCCACACCCCUCCCCCUCACAGAAGUAGCAACAUCCACUGCACAAAUCAAUGGGGAUUUUAAAAGUCUCUUUCCCCUUUUUUUGUUCCAUGUGCUCCAUGAAUGGGAGCCAUAAACCAGGGCAGUCAGAGGCAGCAGGUUUUACUGCUCCAGGGAUCAGCGCUGCUUUGCAAGUCAGAUGUAGUGGCUGCCAUGAGCAGAGGACACACCGUUUAUGCUCCAACGCAGGGAGCACCAGCACACACACCACCCAGCGCCCGCAUGGGGCCCUGGAGUGCUGAAGGGCCCUGCUGGGGAAUGACUCUGGCUGGCUCAACCAGAGGCUGCUGCUAAAGCCCACCGCAAACACCAGGUGGGGAAUCUAGGUAUCAGCCCAAUGCUGCACUGGGUAGGAAAGGCACCCGCCUGCCUCAGCUGGAUGCUGCUCUAACCUCAUUGUGCAAGGAACGGAAGGGACUCAGCUUGCAAACCUAAGAGCACAGCUGCACCAUUUCCUGCUGUUCCCCAGAGCUCUGCGUCGGCCCGGCCGUGUGAGGCCUCUCCCUGUGUGAGCACGCCGCUCAGCGCCGGAACCGCACUCACCGCUCCCUGGCAAGCUCGCCUUCAUCACAGCCGGGGAGUUCCUGGCUCCCGCCAGCAGGUGGAGGGAGCCUGUGGAGCAGAGCCCCGUGUGGAGAGAGCCCCAUGUAAAGGCUUCAGCUCUGGCGCUCUCAAUGGUGGAGAGCAGCUCAGAGCUCCUAACGGCUUCACACUGUCCACGGGCCUUAGUGACUGUAGGCUCCGGGCACGUCUGGGGGAUGGGCACUGGCCCAGUCACCUGCCCCAGCAGUAGCCACCUCCUCUGGGACCUCAGGACAGCUGCAGAGGCCUUUUCCCUCACAAUCCCAAAGCCACCAUGACUGCCGAGAUAGCCCAAAGGAAACCAUGCCACCGCUCACUUCCCACCCAGCCCCAGCACUCAGAGCAGCGCCAGCAUCCAGAGCGGCAGCUUCCACUCAGCCCACAAACCCACACGCCUUUGUUUUUUCCACUCCCUUGGCUCCCGACUGACGCCGCUUCCCCCAGCCCAGCAGCCCUUUCAUUAAGUCAGUUCCAACAGGAGACCUUUGUGGUUUUGCUCAGCCAUGCUGAGCACUAGCUCCGAGUUCUCCGUGUGGCUGUACUGAUACCAGCCCCAGCCACCGCACUGCACCACCUCCAAGAUCAGGGCACAUGCUCCUGGGGAAGCAGAAGUGCCUCCCCAAUAUUCAGAGGCUGCCCAUGUGUAGGGUUGUCCUGGAGUCUCCUGGAAUUAAAGAUUAAUCUUUAAUGAAGGAUUAUAUCAUGUAACGAAACCUCCAGGAAUACAUCCAAGCAAAACUGACAACCCUCCCCACGUGCUUUGGGGCAGUAACAAAAUAAGAGACUCAGGGGUUUCUGCCUUGGGGUCGGCCCAGCCCUGCAGUUUCUAGCUCCAUGCCCUGGUGCUUUGCUCUGACCGGAUGCAGAACAUCCAAACAAGGGAAUCGGGUGGGGCCAGGCACCCUUAAGCCAGACAACAGCUGCCAGCCACCUAAGCCCCAAAGAGCUCACUGGCCAGGGUCACCUUCGCGCUCCAUUCAAACGGCAGAGAUCGCCAGAGGGCCAGUCCUGGCAGUGCUCUGUGCCAGGUGGGCACCCGCCACUCGGAUCCUACUCAUUUCACAUAGGUCCCCGAGCAGGUGGGGAUCACCUCUGGUCACUGCUGCUCUGGGCUGGGUUCGGGGAGAAAGUCACCAGUGCCCCCAGCAGGGGAACAAGUCGCUCACAAGAACCCCCCGCCCUCACCGCGCCCUCCUGGACUCACCCCAGGAGAGACUCCUGCACCGAUCUCACCAGAAGCACCACCCGAGGGCCUGCACUCCCCCGUGGAAAAAGGAUUCGAAGCGGGGCCAGAAUUCAUCUAAAAGCCCAAAUCCCACUCCAAGAGACUCGGCUGCACAGAGGGCAGCUUCCCACGGCGAGGCUGGCUGCAAAGCAAACACCCAAAGGUGACAAACAAAGGCACCUCAACCAGCUCGCUGCAUUAGGCAUAUUUUUAGACACCGCUAUGAAGCCAGUCUUAUUAUUUUCAUUGCAAUGUGCAUAAUUACCCACAAAGCACUGCAGUGGCAUAAGAAACCAGCUCGCUCUCCCUCUGACAAGAGCUAGUAAAGGGCAGGCCUGCAUCAAUUCUGUGCUCCUAGUAUCCCGGCAAGGAGGGGCUGGGGAAACAGAGGGGUGCAGAGUGUGAA